GAUGAACGCUGGCGGCGUGCCUAAUACAUGCAAGUCGAGCGAACAGACGAGGAGCUUGCUCCUCUGACGUUAGCGGCGGACGGGUGAGUAACACGUGGAUAACCUACCUAUAAGACUGGGAUAACUUCGGGAAACCGGAGCUAAUACCGGAUAAUAUAUUGAACCACAUGGUUCAAUAGUGAAAGACGGUUUUGCUGUCACUUAUAGAUGGAUCCGCGCCGCAUUAGCUAGUUGGUAAGGUAACGGCUUACCAAGGCAACGAUGCGUAGCCGACCUGAGAGGGUGAUCGGCCACACUGGAACUGAGACACGGUCCAGACUCCUACGGGAGGCAGCAGUAGGGAAUCUUCCGCAAUGGGCGAAAGCCUGACGGAGCAACGCCGCGUGAGUGAUGAAGGUCUUCGGAUCGUAAAACUCUGUUAUUAGGGAAGAACAAAUGUGUAAGUAACUAUGCACGUCUUGACGGUACCUAAUCAGAAAGCCACGGCUAACUACGUG
rnacentral:rRNA from 1 species